rnacentral:tRNA from 1 species
GGUGGCCUUGGUCGCCUUGGCCGGCGCGGCCUUGGCCCGGGUGGUCUUGGCCGCGGCGGCGGCCUUGGCCGGUGCGGUGCCGUUGGCCGCUUC